AAAAAAACAGAAGCCACAAUCGACUUCAGCUAAACAAACACGGCCAAAGUGUGAAAUACAAGCCCAGCCGCCAGACUUGAACAAGCAUGCAGCUUCCUCUGUCCUCUCGUGAAUGAUUGAGUUUGACGCGGAUGAAGAAUCAAAUUAGCGAGUCCAUGAGAUGAGAUUAAAAUUUGGAUAUUGACAAGGUCAACUGGAGUCUGGACGCCAUUGAGUUGGAAAAAGAAUGAACCCGAGUAUUCAGACAAAACAUGAUUAUUCAUUGUUUUAUUUUGCCACAUUUAAUAAGGAUAACUCGUACUCCCUCCGUCCCCCUCAAUUGUUUACAUUGGAGAGGGACAUGGAGACCAAGACAAUGUAUGAAAAAUGAGUAAAGUGAGAUGAAAAAUGAGUAAAGUGGUGGGACCUAUCAAUAUUUAAUAAUAGAUUUGAGAUAGUGGAGGAAAGUAGUGGGUGUAAUAGUAUUUUUUUAUUAUUAAAUAUGAGAUAGUGGAGGAAGAUAGUGGGUGUAAUGAUGGAAAACCUUACUAUUUAUAGUAACGUAAAGAAAUGAGAGGGACAUCCCAAAAUAGUUCUCUAAAGAAAUGAGAGGGACAUAGAGAGUAGAAAUUAAGCCACUCCCUUCGUCCCCGUGGUUAUUUGUUUGCACGCAUUUUGAGACUUCUAUAAAAUAUAUUCAUAACUUUUUUUCAAAAUUUUUUUUUGAAUAAAAGUAUAAACAUCAAACUUUUAUUCAGAGAAAAAAAAUUAAAAAAAUAUAUUAUGGAACUAUACUUUAAAUGAGUGUGAAAAAAUGUGCCAAAAAGUAACGUGAAAAAAGAGGGGAAAGAGGGAGUAUAUGAUCAACUCACAACCUUACACUGUAAAUGACUACCGUGGUGAAUUUUGUUUAUGACAGGGCAUGUUUUAGCAUCCGGAAAAGUUAAUCUCAGACUAAAAUGUCGAGUUAGUCUGAAAAUUAAAGUUUUUUAUUUUUAAUUUAUGUUUAUAUAAUUAGUACGGAGGAAAUAAUUUCAUUUGAGUCUCAUAUAAUCUCAUGUCACCAAUGACAUGAGAUUAUUAUAGAUUUUAACCCCACUUGCCACCGCUUUUUCCAGACAAGUUCCCGUUCUGAAUUGGUCAAAAAGAAUUAUAUGCUGUUGUUAUUGCAUCUUUUCUUGUAGAACUGCUCUAUUGGCAGAUUGACUUGUUGAUAUAAAUUUCUUAUUGUUUUGACACAAUACACACUAAAAUUUCAAGCUUUCUAUUUCUGCGUUCUCUGAUCCUCCUGUUGGUCUUUAAUUAACCCUCAUACACACACCAAGACACAAGUCAAAAAAAUGGGAAUUCUGAUGAAGCUCGCUGAUGCAAUCACUGUGUUGUUCUUAUGUCUCGUAGCGUUUGUGGGUCUGAUGCCUCUCGGUUAUGUGUUUCUCCCAAGCGAUCACUCCCUGCAUCAUCACAUCGAGGAUUUCAUGCGAAGCGAGCAACAUUAUUUGGUAUUGGAAAUGCCUCCCUUUUUUAAGCCUCUUCUUUAUUACCACCUUCUUGUCAACUGGCCACUCGCUGUCGCCUCUCUAUACGGUUUUAUCUUUCGAAAAUCCUGGGUCAGCACCACCUCUUUGAUUCUUGGCGUCGCCUUUGCCUCCAUCGUUGUGCCGGUAUUAGGAGAGUUGGUCGGAUCGGGGAAGGGAUCGUUCGAGCUUAUACGAGUUUAUGCUGUUCUUUUCUGUCUUGCUGUUGUGGUUGUAUUUCGUAGUCUUGUGGCAUCUGCUGCCACCAAGACCAAGACGGCUUAGAUGAAUUCCAGUUAGUUUCUGUUUCAUGACUAUUUAAGUGUCUGCACUUUCUGUUUUUAUUUUGGUUAUGGAAAGAUAACACUGGGUUUUAUGUAACUAAAUACUCUGCUAUAUGCUUUUGGUCUGCAAUUCUGCAGACUGCAGUUUUACAGUUUAUUUCUUAUAAAGAUCAGAAAUACAUCGAAAGAGUUUUUGUAGA